GCUAUUUUUAAUGCCAAUAGUGGAUGCCUUGCAGGUGUUGACCGAAGAAGGACGCAUCAAGACUCGCGAAAAUCACCGGGGAGCUGUCAAUGAAGCUUUGAUCCGGUGGUGUCCGAAUGGGGAAACCCAACCAUCGCGAGAUGGUUGAUCUAUUGUGAAGUCGGUUCCGAUUUAUCGGGAUCGUAUUAGCAUUAGGUUGGGUACCCGGGGAACUGAAACAUCUAAGUACCCGGAGGAAAAGAAAUCACAGAGAUUCCGUCAGUAGCGGCGAGCGAAAGCGGAAGAGCCUAAACUCCUUUUGCUUCGCAAAAGGAAAUUCGAAGCACGAAAAAUAAAAAUUCGAAUAUCGAAGUCAGAAAAUCCGAAACAAUAUCAAAUGACAAAAAUACAAAAUACAAAAUGUUUUGAAUAUUUGGUUAUUUGAAUAUUAGAAUUUGUUUCGAAUUUCGAAAUUAGGAUUUCGAAUUUAUGUGUUUGGAUUUUCUUUUGCGGAGCAGAAGAAGUGUUGCAGGACGGCUGGCUUAAAUGCAAAAAGAGUAAUAAAUUGGAUCGGUAGAAGAAAACGCUGGAAUUGCGUUGCCAAAGACGGUGACAGCCCCGUAUUCAAAACUGAUUCAACUCUUCGCCUGUUCCUAAGUACCAUAGGGCACGAUUAAACCCUGUGGGAAUCUGGGGCGACCACGUUCCAAGGCUAAAUAUCAACAUCUUGCGAUAGUGAACUAGUACCGUGAGGGAAAGGUGAAAAGCACCCCGGAAGGGGAAUGAAAUAGUACCUGAAACUAUUGGCUAACAAGCAGGUAAAGCUUGUCCUUCGGACAAGAAACUCAAAUCUUAAAGCUCAAAUAUCAAAACUAUUGUGUCCCGCUAAGCAGGACAAUUUAUAAAUUUUUCCUAAGUUUUGAUUUUUGACUUUUUACUUUUGAGUUUACUCGUCUGAAGGACGAGUAAUACCGUGCCUAUUGAAGAAUGAGCCGGUGAGUUUUUAUAACUCUUCUAGUCUAACCACUUCAAAUGUGGGAAGGCGUAGUGAAAGCGAGCCCUAACUGGGCUUACAGGAGAGUAUAAAAGACCCGAAACCAGGUGAGCUAACCUAGGGCAGGAUGAACUUCUCCGAAAGGUGAAGGGAGGUCCGAACUCGUGUCCGCAGCAAUGGGCUGAGAUGACCUUUGGUUAGGGGCAACAUGCCAAACGAACCUGGAGAUAGCUGGUUCUCCCCGAAAUAUAUUUUGGUAUAGCCGAACGGUUGACGAGAGAUGGGGUAGAGCACUGAAUGGUCUUUGGAGGCGAAAGUCUUCAGGGUCAAUCAAACUCCGAAUACAUUUCUCUAGUACGUUCGAGUCAGUCUUGCGGGGCUAAGCUCGUGAGUCAAAAGGGAAACAACCCAGAUUCCCAACUAAGGUCUCAAAAUUUAGGCUAAGUUGUUAAGGAAGUAAGUUUCCUCAGACAGCUAGGAGGUUGGCUUAGAAGCAGCCAUCCUUUAAAGAAAGCGUAACAGCUCACUAGUCGAUUUGGGAAGCUUGCGCCGAAAAUGAUCGAGGAUUAAGCCUAAUACCGAAGUUGGAGAUCUUGUGCUUCGCACAAGUAGUUUAAAGUUAAAAGUUCAAAAUUAAAAGUGAAGGUACUUUAUUUUUAGGAUUACCAGAUUAAAGUUUUUAGUAAAAAUCUUCCUUAACUUUGAACUUUGCAUUUUGCACUUUGAAUUACUCGUGCGAAGCGCGAGAUGGUAGGGGAGCGUUCUGUACGUUGUGAAGGUGAACUGUAAGGUUUGCUGGAAUGUACAGAAGUGAGAAUGCCGGCAUGAGUAACGUAAUCCCGGUAAAUAAGCCGGGACGCCGAAAGUCCAAGGUUUCCUUCGCAAUGUAAAUCAGCGAAGGGUUAGUCGGUUCCUAACGGUGACCCGUUUAAGGCGGGGUAGCCGGAUGGACAAGUCGUUAAGAUUCGACUACAGGAUUUAGUGCGCUAUUACUUAAGGAUUAACAAGAGUGGAGAGAAGUUGUCCCGUUUAUCGGGAUCUAAAUCACAAAGUAGUUUAGAUAGGAAAAUCCGUCUAGACGUUUUAGCUGAGUGAUGAUGGCUUGUUUGAAAGGGCAACCAAGUAAAAUGAGAGUUUUAGCUUCAGUCUUCAAGAAAAGAUUCGUAAGGAGUGCUAAAUUUUGCCGUACCGCAUUACCGACACAGGUGGACAAGUCGAGUAGACUAAGGCGAUCGAGAGAAAGAUGUUCAAGGAACUCGGCAACAAAAGCUGGGCGUAACCUUUGGGAGAUGCCCUGCCCUGAUUUAUCAGGGCCGCAGCGAAAGAUUGCUUAGCGACUGUUUAUCUAAAACACAGGUCCCUGCAAAGCCGAAAGGCAAAGUAUAGGGGCUGACACCUGCCCAGUGCUGGUAAGUCAAGAGUGGUGACUGACCCCGACUUGUUCGGGAUAGGUUGUUACUCAAGCUCCAGUGAACGGCAGCAGUAACUAUAACUGUUCUAUGGUAGCGAAGUUCCUUGUCGGGUGAGUUCCGACCCGCACGAAAGGUAGAACGACUGAGCAACUGUCUUGAACAUCUACUCGGUGAAAUUGAGAUGGCCGUGAAGACGCGGCCUAGUUGUCCUUGGACAAAAAGACCCCGGGAGCUUUACUGUAGCUUGGUAUUUGAAAGCUUUUUUUAACUGUCGAGAAUAGGAGGGAGCUUGUGCAUGGCACAAGAAUAUUCAAAUGUCAAAUUUCAAAUGUCAAAUUUCCAAUAAAAAUUGGAUAUUGGUAAUUAUUUGAAAUUGGUAUUAUUUGAGAUUCUCGCGCUGUGCGCGAGCAACAGUGGAAUACCUCUCUUUGGAAGAAGUGAUCAUUACUCUUAUGCCAAUAAAAAUUUGGCAAGAGGACAGUGCCUGGUGGGCAGUUUAACUGGGGAGGUUGACUCCUAAAUUGCAACGGAGUCGUACAAAGGUUGGCUUAGUACGGACGGAAAUCGUGCUGAAUGCGCAAUGGCAUAAGCCAGCUUAACUGCGAGACUUACAAGUCGAGCAGAUGCGAAAGCAGGUCAUAGUGAUCCUGUAUUCCUGAGUGGCAGGGAUACAGCUUAACGGAUAAAAGCUACCCCGGGGAUACAUAACUGUGUCCCGAUUUAUGGUAACAUAGAUCAUAGUAUACGGCUAAUAACGGUGAAGCCCUCAUGUUUUUGUGGUUUAAGUCUUCCACAAACGAGGAAACAAAGGGUAAUACCGUGGGAAGUCGGAGGAAACAAUGACACAAAGGCAAAGGAAUGCAUUAAUUGGAAUGAUUUUAGGCGAUGCUUAUCUGCAAAAAACAGGUAAGCAAAAUGCCAGGAUCAGACUGGAGCAUAGCAUUAGACAAAAAGAGUAUUUAGAAUGGAAAAUAAAUCUUUUAAAGAAUUAUUUUCAAUCUAAAAUUCAAAUUCUUAGUCGUACAAAUGCUAUUUGGAAAAAAACCUAUCAAUAUGUUAGGAUCCAAUCUAGUUCAGGUUCUGAUUUCGGUAAGCUUAGAAGGUUGUUUUAUAAAAAUUCAACUAAAGUCAUACCUCAAAAUAUUAGUGACAUUUUUAAUAAUAGUUUUUCUUUGGCUAUAUGGUUUAUGGAUGAUGGAUAUUAUUAUCCCAGAGAUAAAAUGUCCUACAUCUAUAUUCCUAAAUAUGACGAAGAGAGCAUAAGGAAUCUAUUAAUUUGCCUAAAAGAAAAUUUUAAUCUUAUACCUGUAUUAAAAACAAAAAAGAAAGGUUUAGUAUUGGUAUUUAGUGUCAAAGAAACAAACAAAUUGAUGGAAUUGAUAAAGAAAUUUGUUAUUUCAUCAAUGAGCUAUAAAAUUCCUCUUGACCCCGUAUCGACUGAACAAAAGUCGCAUUAGGCGACAAGUAGUGAGACCCGCCAAAGAGGCGAGGUCAUACGCCGUACCCCCGAUGAUAGUUUUCAUUCGGGGUGAAGAUAUAGUCAGUGCAACAAGAAAUUGUUGAUUGUCAUUCUAUAACAUAGAAUAACAUGAACAGGCUGAUCGCUCCCAAGCGUCCAUAGCGACGGGGCGGUUUGGCACCUCGAUGUCGGCUCAACUUAGCGCGGGGGUGAAGAAGCUCCCAAGCGUCGGGCUGUUCGCCCGUUAAAAAGUUACGCGAGCUGGGUUAAGAACGGCGUGAGCCAGUUCGGACUCUAUCCAGGAUGACCGAUUUGAGAUUUGAGAGGAGUUGCCCUUAGUACGAGAGGACUAGGGUGAGGGAAUCCCUGGUGUGCCGGUUGUGCGUUAAAAGCGUGCAGCGCCGGGUAGCUAGAUUCCCAUGGGAUAACCGCUGAAAGCAUCUAAGUGGGAAGCCCACCUCAAGAUAAGAUCUCUUUUAGACCCCUUCGAGAUCAGGAGGUUGAUAGGCGGGAGGUGUAAGAUUGGUAACAAUUUCAGCUAACCCGUACUAAUAGGUCGUUAA
rnacentral:rRNA from 1 species